ACCCCUGCACAUGUACACUCACCAGAGAGUUCCUGCUGACACAGCUGUCAAAUGCCACACACAUGGACUGAAACACCGGAGAAGUAACGGGCUGCCAUUCGUUGUGAAGUGAACCUUGAACCGCUCAAGACCCAAGAGGCACUCAACGGCACAACGUAAUGCAAGCCAGUCACGCUGGUUUUGCUUUUCUCAUUUCGGUUUGGUGUCGUCAUUUGACAGCUAAGUUGACCGACAGGAUAUUUAUGGAAAGCGUGAUGAAUUGUUUUACCUUUUUAUGUUUUUGGUAAAACUCCACUUGAUGGCAGAAUUGUGUGCAUUCUAAGCACAGUAUGAGAGUAAAUCUAAUUAAAUCCACUUGUUGUGCAUCACAGUGGACUUAGUUCUUCUGGCCAAAUAUAUGUGAGAGACUCGUAUAUACACAACGGACAUUUGGCUUAUUAUUGAUUAUGUGAGAAAUAAAAUGUCAAUAGU